UGUGUGUUUGUGUGUGUGUGUGUGUGUGUGUGUGUGUGUGUGUGUGUGCGUGCGGCGCUGCGUUACAGUUCUGCUAUGAGCCGCUGAGGUUUGGUUUGUUUUGCUUAUGAGGUUGCUUGACUUCAACAAAAGAGAAGAGAAUACAUAAGAGGAAACAAUUAGCUAUAUUCAUCUUCACGUGAA